GGUGGCUUAAUAAGUCUGUUGUUAAAUCUUAGAGCUUAACUCUAAAAUGCAAUGGAUACUGUUAGGCUCGAGUAAAGUCGAAGUAGAAGGAAUUUCCAGUGAAGCGGUGAAAUGCGUAGAUAUUGGAAGGAACACCAAUGGCGAAAGCAUUCUACUAGGCUUCUACUGACACUGAGAGACGAAAGCUAGGGUAGCAAAUGGGAUUAGAUACCCCAGUAGUCCUAGCCGUAAACGAUGGAUACUAGACAUUGCGCGCAUCGAUCCGCGUGGUGUCAUAGCUAACGCGUUAAGUAUCCCGCCUGGGGAGUAUGCUCGCAAGGGUGAAACUCAAAGGAAUUGACGGGGGCCCGCACAAGCGGUGGAGCAUGUGGUUUAAUUUGAUGCAACGCGAAGAACCUUACCAGGGUUUGACAUAGUGUUAAUUCUUUGAAAGAAGAAGUGCCGCUUGCGGCAGACACAUACAGGUGGUGCAUGGCUGUCGUCAGCUCGUGUCGUGAGAUGUUGGGUUAAGUCCCGCAACGAGCGCAACCCUCGUCUUUAGUUGCUAGAAAUCUAAAGAGACUAUCGGUUAUAAACCGGAGGAAGGUGAGGAUGACGUCAAGUCAGCAUGCCCCUUAUAUCCUGGGCUACACACGUGCUACAUUGGGCUAGGACAAUGAGAUGCAAAGUCGCGAGGCAGAGCUAAUCUACAAACCUACUCUAAGUUCGGAUUGGAGGCUGCAACUCGCCUCCAUGAA
rnacentral:rRNA from 1 species